CGAGUGAAGCGGGAAAAGCUCAAAUUUAAAAUCUGGCAAGGUUUCCUUGUCCGAAUUGUAAUUUGGAGAAGCGUUUUUGGUUCGGAGUUUUUACCCAAAGUCCUUUGGAACAGGGUAUCAUAGAGGGUGAGAAUCCCGUAUGGGUUUGAACUCCUGAUCUAUGUAAAACGCGUUCAAAGAGUCGAGUUGUUUGGGAUUGCAGCUCAAAAUGGGUGGUAAAUUUCAUCUAAAGCUAAAUAUUAGCGAGAGACCGAUAGCGCACAAGUA
rnacentral:rRNA from 1 species